CACGGGUGAGUAUCGCGUAUCCAACCUGCCCAUAAGUAGGGAAUAGCCUUGCGAAAGUAAGAUAAUGCCCUAUGGUUUCCAUUAAAGACAUCUGAGAUGGAAUAAAGAUUUAUCGCUUAGUGGAUGGGGAUGCGUCUGAUUAGGUAGUAGGCGGGGUAACGGCCCACCUAGCCGACGAUCAGUAGGGGUUCUGAGAGGAAGGUCCCCCACAUUGGAACUGAGACACGGUCCAAACUCCUACGGGAGGCAGCAGUGAGGAAUAUUGGUCAAUGGACGGAAGUCUAGAACCAGCCAAAAGUAGCGUGCAGGAUGACCGGCCCUAGUGGGUUGUAAACUGUCGUUUUUAGGGGAAUAAAGUUAGCCACGUGUGGUUAUUUGCAUGUACCCUACGAAUAAGGACCGGCUAAUUCCGUGCCAGCCGCGGC
rnacentral:rRNA from 1 species